ensembl:lncRNA
CUGAGCAGCACGGUCCCCUGAAGCCACAGAGCCCGCUACCGCUACCGCUACAGCUACAGCUACCAGCUACCAGCUACCAGCUACCAGCUAAGAGCUACCAGCUACCAGCUACCAGCUACCAGCUACCAGCUACCAGCUAAGAGCUACCAGAGCCGCUCCUCGUCCCAGCAUGGACCCCCGAGCCCUCGGCCCCCUGCUGCUCCUGGCUGGACUCCUGCUGCUCAGCGGUCUCUGUGGGGGUGCCCCAUCAUACCUCUCCUGUGGACAGGGUAGCAGAGGACACAAUGUGCUUUGUGGCUGUGGCUCCAGCCUGGUCGCUCUAUUGCUCCCUAUUGUUCCUGCUGGACCUUAGCAUUACAAGAUGCAUGUGUCAUGUGGACAUUAGUGUGUCUCACACACAAACAAACA